rnacentral:rRNA from 1 species
GAUGAACGCUAGCGGCAGGCCUAACACAUGCAAGUCGAGGGGCAGCACAUAAAGUGGUUUACUACUUUUGGUGGCGACCGGCGGACGGGUGCGUAACGCGUAUGCAACCUGCCUCCAACAGGGGGAUAACGGAGAGAAAUUUCCACUAAUACCCCAUAAUAUCAGAAUCGGCAUCGGUUUUGGUUGAAAACUCCGGUGGUUGGAGAUGGGCAUGCGUUGUAUUAGAUAGUUGGUGAGGUAACGGCUCACCAAGUCAACGAUACAUAGGGGGACUGAGAGGUUAGCACCCCACACUGGAACUGAGGCACGGACCAGACUCCUACGGGAGGCAGCAGUGAGGAAUAUUGGUCAAUGGGGGCAACCCUGAACCAGCCAUGCCGCGUGCAGGAAGACGGCUCUAUGAGUUGUAAACUGCUUUUACAAGGGGAUAAAUCGGUGUACGUGUACACCGUUGAAGGUACCUUGGGAAUAAGGAUCGGCUAACUCCGUGCCAGCCGCCGCAGUAA